rnacentral:antisense_RNA from 9 species
CCUUAUGGCGGUGGUACGUGGGGCACCUUGUGUGCGCCGAGUCUCCGGAGUCCUCGGUCUGUCAACCCGCGUAUCGCUGCCACCCUC